CUGAACUGUCGACACGAGUUGUUGCUGGCCCUCGAAAGGGGGCACGUGCACGCUCUGUUUACACAUCCACUCACACCUGUGCACCCUCUGUAGUUCUAUGGCCUUGGGGACUCUGUCCCCUUGCUAUGGUCCUACGUCUUUACACACACACCGUAAUAAAGUCUCAUGGAAUGUAUGUCGCGUUUAACGCAAUACAAUA
rnacentral:misc_RNA from 1 species